GACGAACGCUGGCGGCGUGCUUAACACAUGCAAGUCGAACGGUGAAGGGAUCAGCUUGCUGGUUCUGGAUGAGUGGCGAACGGGUGAGUAACACGUGAGUAACCUGCCCCCUUCUUCUGGAUAACCGCAUGAAAGUGUGGCUAAUACGGGAUAUUCUGCGCCUGCUGCAUGGUGGGUGUGGGAAAGAUAUUGUUUCGGUGGGGGAUGGGCUCGCGGCCUAUCAGCUUGUUGGUGGGGUGAUGGCCUACCAAGGCGGUGACGGGUAGCCGGCCUGAGAGGGUGGACGGUCACACUGGGACUGAGACACGGCCCAGACUGCUACGGGAGGCAGCAGUGGGGAAUAUUGCACAAUGGGCGCAAGCCUGAUGCAGCGACGCCGCGUGAGGGAUGGAGGCCUUCGGGUUGUGAACCUCUUUCGCCAGUGAAGCAGGCCUGUCCCUUGUGGGUGGGUUGACGGUAGCUGGAUAAGAAGCGCCGGCUAACUACGUG
rnacentral:rRNA from 1 species